AUUCCAGCUCCAAUAGCGUAUAUUAAAGUUGUUGCGGUUAAAAAGCUCGUAGUUGGAUUUCUGCCGAGGACGACCGGUCCGCCCUCUGGGUGAGUAUCUGGCUCGGCCUGGGCAUCUUCUUGGAGAACGUAUCUGCACUUGACUGUGUGGUGCGGUAUCCAGGACUUUUACUUUGAGGAAAUUAGAGUGUUUCAAGCAGGCAUACGCCUUGAAUACAUUAGCAUGGAAUAAUAAGAUAGGACCUCGGUUCUAUUUUGUUGGUUUCUAGAGCUGAGUUAAUGAUUAAUACGGACAGUUGGGGGUAUUCGUAUUCCAUUGUCAGAGGUGAAAUUCUUGGAUUUAUGGAAGACGAACUACUGCGAAAGCAUUUACCAAGGAUGUUUUCAUUA
rnacentral:rRNA from 1 species